GACGAACGCUGGCGGCAUGCCUAACACAUGCAAGUCGAGCGAGUUGAUUUCUUCGGAAUAAAGCUAGCGGCGGACGGGUGAGUAACACGUGGGCAACCUGCCUCAUAGAGGGGAAUAGCCUUCCGAAAGGAAGAUUAAUACCGCAUAAGAUUGUAGUACCGCAUGGUAUAGCAAUUAAAGGAGUAAUCCGCUAUGAGAUGGGCCCGCGGCGCAUUAGCUAGUGGUGAGGUAACGGCUCACCAAGGCGACGAUGCGUAGCCGACCUGAGAGGGUGAUCGGCCACAUUGGGACUGAGACACGGCCCAGACUCCUACGGGAGGCAGCAGUGGGGAAUAUUGCACAAUGGGGGAAACCCUGAUGCAGCAAUGCCGCGUGAGUGAUGACGGCCUUCGGGUUGUAAAGCUCUGUCUUCGGGGACGAUAAUGACGGUACCCGAGGAGGAAGCCACGGCUAACUACGUGCCAGCAGCCGCAGUAA
rnacentral:rRNA from 1 species